UAUCGCCAGAGUUAGCGGCAGACGGGUGAGUAAUACUUGGGUAAUCUACCUUUGAGUGGGAAACAACCGGCCGAAAGGCUGGCUAAUGUCCCAUAAGACCACAGGACGGCAUCGUCCAGGGGUCAAAGCUCCGCAAGGGGCGCUUGAAGAGGAACCCGAGUCCUAUCAUGGUAGUUGGUGAGGUAACGGCUCACCAAGCCUUUGACGGGUAGCCGGCCUGAAAGGGUGAUCGGCCACACUGGCACUGAGACACGGGCCAGACUCCUACGGGAGGCAGCAGUGGGGAAUUUUGGACAAUGGGGGCAACCCUGAUCCAGCGACGCCGCGUGAAGGAUGAAGGUCUUCGGAUUGUAAACUUCUUUUGGAGGGGAUGAAUGCCUGCGUGAAUAACGCAGGGUGACAGUACUCUUCGAAUAAGCCACGGCUAACUACGUGCCAGCAGCCGCGGUAAUACGUAGGUGGCAAGCGAUACUCGGAAUCACUAGGCGUAAAGCGCAGGUAGGCGGUUUGGUAAGUCUUUUGUGAAAGCUCCUGGCUUAACUGGGAGAGGUCAAAGGAAACUACCAGGCUAGAGUUUGGUAGGGGAUACUGGAAUUCCUGGUGUAGCGGUGAAAUGCGUAGAUAUCAGGAGGAAUACCUAUGGCGAAAGCAGGUAUCUGGGCCACAACUGACGCUGAGCUGCGAAAGCUAGGGGAGCAAACAGGAUUAGAUACCCUGGUAGUCCUAGCCCUAAACGAUGCUCAUUAGAUGUGGGAGGUAUCGACCCCUUCCGCGUCGCAGCUAACGCAUUAAAUG
rnacentral:rRNA from 1 species